rnacentral:misc_RNA from 1 species
UGCGGGACUUUUUAAAAGUGCGCUUCAAACAGUAUUUGCAACGGUUCGUGUUGGCCAUAAUUUUUUUUAUUGCUUAGAAAAUUUCGAGAAAACUGUCGCUGAAAAAUUUAUUGAAUAAUAAAAAUUCUAUAUAGAAAAGGGUUUAGCGACUUUUUUCUAUAAGAAAAGAAGUGCAAUUGACAUUAUAAACAAAAAUCGGUGAAUAUAGAAUUUUGCCAUCAAGCAAGGAAGAGAAAAACUCGAAUAUUGUGUUGAAAUAUAUAAGUAUAAUCCAGAGAAAAAAAAUGGUGGGAGCUACUAAAAUUCGUAUUGAUGAGAAUGAUGCCAAUAACUUCACCAAAGUAAAAAAGUUUGGAGUUAGUCAUGCCACGGAAAACACAAGACGUGCAGCUUUGGGCGACCUUCAGAAUAAAGCUGUUAUCCGUCUGGCCAAUGCCAAAGAAGCAGCGCAAAAAGACGUUGAUGCGAAAUUGAAAAAUGUAAUUCAAAAUACCAAGCCACGUGUGGAUACUCACUGGAAAAAGGCGCCAGGUGCCGUUGCUGUUUCUGUUAAAAGCAAUACAGCGACUGAGCAGCCAAAGAAGGUUGUUACGCGUUCGAAUUCUACACGCACAGCCGGUGUUUUAGCUGAUUCAACGGCUGCUCAUAGAAAUGUGGCUGGGUUGAGCAAACAUAAGACGCUUACUACAAAAGUAGUGGAAAACAAAUUACAACAAGGAAAAUUGUCUAAAGCCAAGGCUACAAAUGAUGAAAAGUCAAAAAAAUCUGGUGAGAGUAUUACAUUGCGACGAGAAGAUAGUAAUUUAUCGCUUAAGUCUUUGAGCAAGUUAAGAGCAGUCUUGUCACGUGAUGCCAACAAGGCUUCAACUGCGAGAUCUGCAGUGCAGUGUGUAAAAAUCGAACAAGAAAUCAAAUCCACAGUUGCAAGUGAGGAAAUUGAUUCGGAUAAUGACAAUAAGAAUAUUGCUGAAAAACUAAGUUUAAGCCCACAAUCAAGCAAAUCUGAAGAAGAGCAACUCGAUGAUGUUGAAGACAUUGAUGCUGGCGAUGCCGAUAAACUAUUAUUGGUAUCCGAAUAUGUUAAUGACAUUUAUAAUUACCUAUUCCAAUUAGAGGAUGAACAAGUAAUACGUGAAAAUCAUUUGGAUGACCAAGAAGAAGUUUAUCCUAAAAUGCGCGCAGUUCUCAUCGAUUGGAUCAAUGAAGUGCAUUUUCAAUUUCAUCUAACACCAGAAACAUUCCAAAUGACAGUAGCAAUUAUUGAUCGUUAUUUACAAGAAGUUAAUGAUACAAAGCGCACACAUUUGCAAUUAGUGGGAGUUACAGCGCUAUUCAUUGCAGCCAAAUAUGAAGAAUUGGUGCCACCAUCAAUAGCUGAUUUCGUUUAUAUUACUGAUAAUACAUAUACAGCCAAACAAAUUAUUCAAAUGGAAUUGAAAAUCAUUAAAAUACUCGAAUGCAAUUUGUCGCGUCCUUUGCCCAUACACUUUUUGCGACGCUUCUCAAAGGCGGCUAAUGUAGAAGAUAUUCAUCAUGCAAUGGCAAAAUAUUUCCUCGAAUUGACAUCAGUCGAAUACGAUUUAGCGGCAUACAAACCAUCGGAGAUCGCCGCUUCGUCACUUUUCUUAGCGUUGCAUUUACUCCAAGAUAACUCAAAGCUACCAACUGGUUUCAAUAAUCAACACUGGACGCCUACAAUGCAAUGGUAUUCGCGCUAUAGCCCCGAGCAUUUACGUCCAAUUGCCAAGCAAAUUGCUAAAGUAGUGCGAAACGCACCAAACGCCAAACUGAAAGCGGUCUAUAACAAAUAUCAAUCAUCGAAGUUAUAUAAAAUUGCAUUACGUUCAGAGCUAUACGAUAAACUAAUUGAUUCGAUAAUUGAACAAGCUGAAUAAGAAAUGCGUGUAUGAAGUGAAGAUGGCGCCAGCCGUAGCAGCAAAAGCAGCUGUCAUGUGUCUAAUUUAUGUUUCUGUCGUCGUUUAGUUUAAUUGUUUUUAUUUGUUUUAUAUAAAUAUUCAUUUAUUUUUAUUAUCAUCCAAUUUAUCUAUUUUAAAUAAUAUUUUUACUUUUAAGUAUUAUGCGACAAUUGAAAUUAGUUGGAUAAUAUAUGCUAAUUUAGAGAUCGUCGGCCGAAUAUCAUUAUAGAUAAUAUAUGCCUUCCAUGUAAUGCCUUGCAUUAUAGCAGUGAAAGAAGGUGGAAAUUGUGGACAGCAAUAAUGGAGAAAAUAAAGGACAACAUUCCGACUACAUUUGUAUAUGUUUCCAAAACGUAUAGUUUCCUAAUAAAGUGAGGAAAACCACUGUGUACCGCGCCGACUAUGCAAACAACGUAUAUUAGUGACUGAAUGUACUUUAUAAAUAUAUAGAUGAAAAUAUUUUGUAACUGUUAUUGCUAUUUACGCUUCACUUAUAGUCUGUAGCAAUUAAUGCUAAUGUAUUUUUUAACAAAAAAUAAUUGCUUAGGAUUAUAAUCAAUUUUGUCUUUACCUGUAGAUUUACAAUUAUAACAAAAUCGAAACUAAAAUUAAAUUCUACAACGUUUGUAUGCCUCAAACCGAAUGUAUUUGUUAUAACUUAAGUAGUGUAGUGGUUUAAUUCCACGCUAUGCCGCACACAUUUGCUUUGUAGGCGAAUGUAAUUUCUUUGUAUGAUUAAAAUACUUCUAUUAAAAACGAAAAA